UAGAGUUUGAUCCUGGCUCAGAUUGAACGCUGGCGGCAUGCCUAACACAUGCAAGUCGAACGGCAGCACAGGUAGCAAUACCGGGUGGCGAGUGGCGGACGGGUGAGGAAUACAUCGGGACCUGCCCAGACGUGGGGGAUAACGUAGGGAAACUUACGCUAAUACCGCAUACGUCCUACGGGAGAAAGCGGGGGAUCUUCGGACCUCGCGCGGUUGGAUGGGCCGAUGUUCGAUUAGCUAGUUGGUGAGGUAAUGGCUCACCAAGGCGACGAUCGAUAGCUGGUCUGAGAGGAUGAUCAGCCACACUGGGACUGAGACACGGCCCAGACUCCUACGGGAGGCAGCAGUGGGGAAUAUUGGACAAUGGGCGCAAGCCUGAUCCAGCAAUGCCGCGUGUGUGAAGAAGGCCUUCGGGUUGUAAAGCACUUUUAUCAGGAGCGAAAUACUACGGGUUAAUACCUCGUGGGGCUGACGGUACCUGAGGAAUAGGCACCGGCUAACUUCGUGCCAGCAGCCGCGGUAAUACGAAGGGUGCAAGCGUUAAUCGGAAUUACUGGGCGUAAAGCGUGCGUAGGCGGUUUUUUAAGUCUGCUGUGAAAUCCCCGGGCUCAACCUGGGAAUGGCAGUGGAUACUGGAAAGCUAGAGUGUGAGAGAGGAU
rnacentral:rRNA from 1 species